AUAUAUGCAGAUAGGACAGUGUGUCUUAAUAUAGAAUGACGUUUGCAACACGUGACUCAACAACAUAACCUUAAACCCCAGUAAGGAAUAACUUCUGACUGUGCAGUUUGACGUGUAUCGGUGUGAAUUAUUGUUGGUAUUGUUAGUUUUAAAAACAGUAAAUUGAAAGAGGCAAUAUAUUUGAAGAAUUACAAUGGAUACUGAAAAUUGCAGAACUGCUAGUCGUUCCAAGAGAAUGGUUCAGGCUGCGUUAAAUAAAAGCCUACAAGAAAAAAUAAGUGUAAUCAGACAGAAGACUAAAAACCAAGGUGUGUAACGAAAGAUAAUGAGUAUAUACCUGAAAAAGGCGAAUCUGAAGAGACUGAGACUAGUGAAAUAGAAAACGAGUCAUUUUCAACGGAUUUACACUUAUUGAAGAACAAUAAAGCGACUUCAAAAA
rnacentral:lncRNA from 1 species